UACGGAGGGUGCGAGCGUUAAUCGGAAUUACUGGGCGUAAAGGGCACGUAGGCGGUUUAAUAAGUUGGUUGUGAAAGCCCUGGGCUUAACCUGGGACGUGCGAUCAAAACUGUUGAGCUAGAGUCUGAGAGAGGGAGGUAGAAUUUCCGGUGUAGAGGUGAAAUGCGUAGAGAUCGGAAGGAAUACCGGUGGCGAAGGCGGCCUCCUGGCUUGAGACUGACGCUGAGGUGCGAAAGCAUGGGGAGCAAACAGG
rnacentral:rRNA from 1 species